CUCAGGAUGAACGCUAGCGGCAGGCUUAACACAUGCAAGUCGAGGGGCAGCGGGAUGUAGCAAUACAUUGCCGGCGACCGGCGGAUGGGUGCGUAACGCGUAUGCAACCUACCUAUACAGGGAAUAACCUUUCGAAAGGGAGACUAACACCCCAUAGUAUUGAUUUAAGGCAUCUUAGAUUAAUUAAAUAUUUAUAGGUAUAAGAUGGGCAUGCGUAUGAUUAGCUAGUUGGUAAGGUAACGGCUUACCAAGGCGACGAUCAUUAGGGGUUCUGAGAGGAAGGUCCCCCACACUGGUACUGAGACACGGACCAGACUCCUACGGGAGGCAGCAGUGAGGAAUAUUGGUCAAUGGGCGCAAGCCUGAACCAGCCAUGCCGCGUGCAGGAAGACGGCCUUAUAGGUUGUAAACUGCUUUUACAUAAGACUAACCGUAUAUUUGCGAAUAUACCUGAAUGUAUUAUGAGAAUAAGGAUCGGCUAACUCCGUGCCAGCCGCCGC
rnacentral:rRNA from 1 species